rnacentral:rRNA from 1 species
UACGUAGGGUGCGAGCGUUGCCCGGAUUUAUUGGGCGUAAAGGGCGCGUAGGCGGUCACGCACGUCCGUUGUGAAAUCGCUCGGCUCAACUGGGGAGUGUCGUGCGAUACGGGCGGACUGGAGGCCAGUAGGGGGAUGCGGAAUUCCGGGUGUAGUGGUGGAAUGCGUAGAGAUCCGGAGGAACACCAGCGGCGAAGGCGGCCUUCUGGACGGUGACUGACGCUGAGACGCGAAAGCGUGGGGAGCAAACAGG